UACCAGCACCCCGAGUGGUCGGGACGAUUAUUGGGCCUAAAGCAUCCGUAGCCGGUCCUACAAGUCUUCCGUUAAAUCCACCUGCUUAACAGAUGGGCUGCGGAAGAUACUAUAGGGCUAGGAGGCGGGAGAGGCAAGCGGUACUCAGUGGGUAGGGGUAAAAUCCUCUGAUCCAUUGAAGACCACCAGUGGCGGAAGGCGGCUUGCCAGAACGCGCUCGACGGUGAGGGAUGAAAGCUGGGGGAGCAAACGG
rnacentral:rRNA from 1 species